rnacentral:rRNA from 1 species
CCUGAACGCUGGCGGCGUGCCUAAUACAUGCAAGUCGAGCGAGAGAAGCUUCCUCCGGGAAGUGGAUCAAGCGGCGAACGGGUGAGUAACACGUGGGCAACCUGCCCGCAAGACUGGGAUAACUACGGGAAACCGGAGCUAAUACCAGAUACGCAUUUCCUUCGCAUGAAGGAAAUGAGAAAGAUGGCCGUGGGCCCUGCGAAAGUAAUACUUUCGUGGGUGCGGAUUCGGCUAUCACUUGCGGAUGGGCCCGCGGCGCAUUAGCUAGUUGGUAAGGUGAUGGCUUACCAAGGCGACGAUGCGUAGCCUACCUGAGAGGGUGACCGGCCACACUGGGACUGAGACACGGCCCAGACUCCUACGGGAGGCAGCAGUAGGGAAUUUUCCGCAAUGGGCGCAAGCCUGACGGAGCAACGCCGCGUGAGUGAGGACGGCCUUCGGGUUGUAAAACUCUGUUCUUUCGAAAGAGUAUCACGGAACCGAAUAGGUUCUGUGGUUCGACGGUACGAGAGGAGAAAGCCCCGGCUAACUACGUGCCAGCAGCCGCGGUAAUACGUAGGGGGCAAGCGUUGUCCGGAUUUAUUGGGCGUAAAGGGCGCGCAGGCGGCCUGUUAAGUCAGAUGUGUAAGGUCUCGGCUCAACCGAGGAGUUGCAUCUGAAACUGGAAGGCUUGAGUGCAGGAGAGGAGAGUGGAAUUCUCGGUGUAGCGGUGGAAUGCGUAGAGAUCGGGAGGAACACCAGUGGCGAAGGCGACUCUCUGGCCUGUAACUGACGCUGAGGCGCGAAAGCGUGGGGAGCGAACAGGAUUAGAUACCCUGGUAGUCCACGCCGUAAACGAUGAGUGCUAGGUGUUGGGGGCGUUACGCCCCCAGUGCCGAAGGAAACCCAAUAAGCACUCCGCCUGGGGAGUACGGCCGCAAGGCUGAAACUCAAAGGAAUUGACGGGGGCCCGCACAAGCGGUGGAGCAUGUGGUUUAAUUCGAUGCAACGCGAAGAACCUUACCAGGGCUUGACAUCCCUCUGAUCGGUGUAGAAAUAUACCUUUCCCUUCGGGGACAGAGGUGACAGGUGGUGCAUGGUUGUCGUCAGCUCGUGUCGUGAGAUGUUGGGUUCAGUCCCGCAACGAGCGCAACCCUUAUCUUUAGUUGCCAGCAGGUCAUGCUGGGCACUCUAGAGAGACAGCCGGUGAAAGCCGGAGGAAGGUGGGGAUGACGUCAAAUCAUCAUGCCCCUUAUGUCCUGGGCUACACACGUGCUACAAUGGCUGGUACAACGGGAUGCGAAACCGUAAGGUGAAGCCAGUCCCUUAAAGCCAGUCUCAGUUCGGAUCGCAGGCUGCAACUCGCCUGCGUGAAGCUGGAAUCGCUAGUAAUCGCGGAUCAGCAUGCCGCGGUGAAUACGUUCCCGGGCCUUGUACUCACCGC